UACGUAGGGGGCAAGCGUUAUCCGGAUUUACUGGGUGUAAAGGGAGCGUAGACGGACCAUCAAGUCUGAUGUGAAAGGCAGGGGCUCAACCCCUGGACUGCAUUGGAAACUGAUGAUCUGGAGUGUCGGAGAGGUAAGUGGAAUUCCUAGUGUAGCGGUGAAAUGCGUAGAUAUUAGGAGGAACACCAGUGGCGAAGGCGACUUACUGGACGAUAACUGACGUUGAGGCUCGAAAGCGUGGGGAGCAAAC
rnacentral:rRNA from 1 species